UACCAGCACCCCGAGUGGUCGGGACGUUUAUUGGGCCUAAAGCAUCCGUAGCCGGUUCUACAAGUCUUCCGUUAAAUCCACCUGCUUAACAGAUGGGCUGCGGAAGAUACUAUAGAGCUAGGAGGCGGGAGAGGCAAGCGGUACUCGAUGGGUAGGGGUAAAAUCCGUUGAUCCAUUGAAGACCACCAGUGGCGAAGGCGGCUUGCCAGAACGCGCUCGACGGUGAGGGAUGAAAGCUGGGGGGCAAACCGG
rnacentral:rRNA from 1 species